CCUAAUUCCCGCUCUUGAUUUCCCCAAGAUUAGAAGUGUUCCGUUUAGGGUUUUAGUGGCCUCACUUUUAUUUUCACUGUUGUCUGGUCUUCUUCCUCGCUCAAGAGUCGGUUUUUGAUGGAGUCUCGUUGUCACUCUCUCCACACCUCCUAAUAUCCCACUUCUGGUAGUCGGUAAGUUGUCUCCUAACAUGUGUAUUCCUUUAGUCUAUGCUUGCUAAUUGAUUUUUCUAUAUAUAACAGAAAUUUUGGAUUUAUGUCAGUUCAAGCUAUUUCAUGUUAUAAUUUCUUCAAUUUUUAAUUUAACUAAUAUUAAGUUUAGUUAUAAUUUCGAAAUAGCAACAAUGCUAAGGGUUUUGUAGGAAAUACGCAAUGCUGAUUUGUGCUAGUUCAUAGCCGACCCCGUUAAUUGAAUUAGAGAAGACACCAGUCUAUUGCUUUAUCCGUUUCUUGCCAUCGAGGAGGCAUUUCCACAAAAUCUUCUAUUGUUCAUCACUUCAUUUUACAAACUUCCUAUUCCUGUAUUGGAGUCCGCACAAGAAAACAUCAUUUCACUACAAAUGAGGCUGGUUUAAAUCUUAAAUAUUGUUGUUAGGCAAUUAUUUAGUUUGAUAUUUUUAUGUUAUGAGUCAUAGUAUUAUAUCAUUUAGACUUAUUAACCAUUUUAGAAGACUUGUAUUUUAAAUACUGUUGUUAGACAAGUUAAAUAUAGUAUUUUCAAUUUAUUCUUUUA